rnacentral:rRNA from 1 species
AGUGGCGGACGGGUGAGUAACACGUGGGAACGUGCCUUUAGGUUCGGAAUAACUCAGGGAAACUUGUGCUAAUACCGAAUGUGCCCUUCGGGGGAAAGAUUUAUCGCCUUUAGAGCGGCCCGCGUCUGAUUAGCUAGUUGGUGAGGUAAAGGCUCACCAAGGCGACGAUCAGUAGCUGGUCUGAGAGGAUGAUCAGCCACAUUGGGACUGAGACACGGCCCAAACUCCUACGGGAGGCAGCAGUGGGGAAUCUUGCGCAAUGGGCGAAAGCCUGACGCAGCCAUGCCGCGUGAAUGAUGAAGGUCUUAGGAUUGUAAAAUUCUUUCACCGGGGACGAUAAUGACGGUACCCGGAGAAGAAGCCCCGGCUAACUUCGUGCCAGCAGCCGCGGUAAUACGAAGGGGGCUAGCGUUGCUCGGAAUUACUGGGCGUAAAGGGAGCGUAGGCGGACAUUUAAGUCAGGGGUGAAAUCCCGGGGCUCAACCUCGGAAUUGCCUUUGAUACUGGGUGUCUUGAGUAUGAGAGAGGUGUGUGGAACUCCGAGUGUAGAGGUGAAAUUCGUAGAUAUUCGGAAGAACACCAGUGGCGAAGGCGACACACUGGCUCAUU